rnacentral:tRNA from 2 species
GGGCGAUUAACUCAGCGGGAGAGUGCUACCUUCACACGGUAGAAGUCACUGGUUCGAUCCCAGUAUCGCCCACCA